AUGGUUCCGACCUGUGACCCUGCACUCGGCUCCGUCUGCACCUUCUUCCUGCCGAAGAUCUGGUCAGCGAUUUGGCAAAAGGAAAAGCUUGAUAUUGAAGUCCAAUCCUUGAAGGCCGAGCUUCGGCAUGUACUAGGAAUUAUUCAGGACUGUCGUUUGAGGGGCAGCGAUCCGGGGGGAACCCUGAAUAUUGCAAAGCUCAGACAAAUGGCAAAUGAAAUAGAAGACUGCAUACAAAGCUGCCAGAUCGCGAAGACUCUGAAGACGCGCGCAGACCUUAUUAGAAUGAUUCCUAACCUCAAGGAAAGAUCAAAAGAACUGGGAGAAAAUUAUAAGGCCCAGCAGAAAUCAGUACCACCAUCCACGAGAGAGGAAUCAACGACCUCAAGACAUCAAGGAAGUUCUGGAGGUUCCGGAGCUUCUGGACAUGGACAAUCAUUGCCUGGAGGUGACUCUGGAGUUGUAGAGCCAUCCUGUACUGAUCCCGUGGACAUGGAUGGUCGAAUCAAAGAGCUUCUGGAGCUGGUGAAGAGAUCUGCUAGUGAAACGAAAAGUAAUCAGCUCAAGGUGAUCUCCAUCUCUGGAUUCUGUGGCAUAGGUAAGACUCUUCUUGCCGAUCAAGUUUAUUUCCACAAAGAUUGCGCGCAGCCGCAGUUCGCUGUGCGUGCUCGGGUCUUUGCUGCCGGAAAGAGCCAUGACGAGGUCCUCGAAGAGAUACUUGAGCAAGUACUCAGCACUAGUGAGAAUGAUGGAGAGAUACGACCACAACACAAUGGCAAACUUAGUCAUGGUCGAGCCCCACAAUCCAAAAUUCCACACCCAAGGAAUAAAAGUGUGAAUGACAAGGGCAAGAAGAAAGUUCGGACUUCUUCACACUGGCAAAAUGGCGAGCUUGAUCACGGUCGAGCCACACAGUGUGUUAUUGAACGUCUCAGAUCACACCUGAAGAAUAAAAGGUUCCUGAUCCUAAUUGUGGAUAUUCAGAUAUGGACUGACAUAGCAUCUGUUUUAGAGGGAGUCGGUGAAAUGCACAGUAGGGUUAUCGUCACAACAACCAUUCAGAGCAUAGCAACAAAAUGGGCAUCUCCAAAGAACCACCUGUAUAAAAUGAGUACACUUAAUGAAGUCUACUCGGCAGUGCUGUUCUUCAAGAAAUUCAAAGGAAAAGAAUACAAAGGGCUGCAUAAGGAUGAAUUACAUUCAUCAAAGUUACUCUUGGAAAAAUGUGAAGGUCUUCCUCUUGCUCUUAUCAGCACAGCAAAAUUUUUGAGUGGUCGUAUCCUGGACAAUAAAGCAUGUUCAGAAGCCUGGAAGAGGCUUUGUGGUACAGAAAAUGAAGAAACAAGCAUGUUACAGAAGAUGCAACUUGUGCUAGCCAAUACCUGCGCUGGUCUUUCUGGUACUAAUAUGACUCCUGCCCUCAUGGAUUGCUUGUUCUAUUUCAGCAUGUUCCCACCAAACCAUCAGGUCAGGAAAAAUUCUCUAGUGAGGCGAUUGCUGGCUGAAGGAAUGGAACAAAAUGAUGCAGGAGAGAAAAUUAAUGUGGAGGAGCUCAUCCAUCGACUGAUCGAUCGAAGUAUCAUUCAGUCCAUGGAAGUGAGCACGGGGGGAGAUGUUAAGAGAUGCAAAGCUUCUAGCCUAAUGUACGAGUACAUUUUCCACAGGUCUAUGUCCGAGGAAUUCAUGGCGGUGUUCUCUGACUUGAUGGACAAUGGCUUUAAUGAAAAGGGGUAUGUCCGCCGACUUUCUAUCCAUGCUACAGAAACUGGGAUUGGGCAAGCAAAAUUGCCUGAUGAUUUAUCCCAUCUCCAUACUCUAGCGGUAUUCGACACUAAGAAACCAGAAGCUACGAGGGAUCUUGCCAAUCAUUUGUUUGGGGGGAAAGGGAUUCUUGCCAAGCAUAAAGUACUUCGGGUUUUGGAUUUGAAAGAAUGUGCUGGUCUUGAUGAAAAACAUCUUCAAACCAUAUGCAACCUGUUGUUGCUGAAAUAUCUGAGCCUCGGGGACAGUAUUGUUCGGGUUCCAAGGAAAAUAGCACAGCUUAAACUGUUGGAAACACUCGACCUAAGUAGAACCAAAGUAGUGACAGUGUACAUAGAAGUCUUUGGGCUCCCCAAAUUAACACAUCUUCUUGGGAAGGUUCGACUCUCUGCAAGGGACUCUGUAUUCGGAGUGGAAAAGUGGAAAAGGUUCUUGGCCAAUAAAUGUAAGUUGGACACCCUUGCAGGAUUCAUCACCGGCAGGAGUGAAGCAUUACCGCAACUGAUAGGUCAUAUGCGGAAACUGAAUAAGGUGAAAAUAUGGAUCCAUUCCACCGCUGAUAGGAGAAACUUGGAACAUCUAACAGAAGGCAUCAAGGAAUUCGUCAGAAAGGACAGGUAUGAAAGUGAGGCUGGUCGGUCACUAUCAAUUGACUUCUCAGGGUGCAUAGAAGAAUAUUUAGAACGAUCCUUGCAUUUCCUAAACCUAGAAGGUCCUCACACAGAUGAGAUGCAAGAAAGUGCGAACAUUCAAGGCAAUGCUCAAGGGGCUAAAAGUGAACAACAAGAAGAUUCAAAGCAAUGUAUGAGCACCGAUGGUAGCAGUGGGAGAAAUGAAAUCAAAGAUAUGAAAGAUGACAACCAAGAGUAUCAGACAGAAAAGGGGGAAGGCACUGUGAAAAAGCAAGACAAUGCCCAAGGGGAACAAAUAAACCAAGAAGACAGAGCUCAAAAAUAUCUCGGCAGCCAAGGUGGCAGUACGAGCAGUCAAAUCAAAAAUAUGUCAGAGAAUAGCCAAGACUAUCAGACACAAGAAAAAGAAGAGGCAAAAGAAGUUCCCGACUAUGAUGAUGCCAAUUCAAAAAAUGGAACUGGGAUAAUGCAAGUCCUUGUGGAGAUCCAGACAGAACUUGAUGAACGCCCCAGCAAGCUUACCUCACUCAAACUGGGUGGAAAGCUGCCAAAAUUCCCUGUUCAGUUAGUUACACAGAUGACUGGCAUUCAGAGGUUGUGCCUUUCAUCUACAGGUCUGUCUGGGAAAGAUAUUGUAGACGCCCUCAGUGUAUUGCCCAGCUUGAUUUAUCUAAAGCUGCGUGACGAUGACUUACGUCACCUCAACAUCGAAAAUAAGCAAUUUCCAAGCCUGCGACAUGUAUGCUUUUCGGUGAAAGAUGGCAAUCUGCCGUGCCCAACAUUUAUACAACAGUUCUGUAAUCUUCACGAAGUGUAUCUGCAUGCUAAUCUGGAUUACGAAGCAAGACGCCUCUGGAAAGAAGCUUCAGAGAGCCAUCCUGAGAGGCCGAGGAUUUUUUUCGCCGAAAGCAAAUAUGAGGGAACUUCAUCGGAAGCUGUGACCCAAAACCAGUAA
rnacentral:rRNA from 1 species